AACCGAGUCUUAAUUGGGCGUUAAGUUGCAGGGUAUAGACCCGAAACCCGGUGAUCUAGCCAUGGGCAGGUUGAAGGUUGGGUAACACUAACUGGAGGACCGAACCGACUAAUGUUGAAAAAUUAGCGGAUGACCUGUGGCUGGGGGUGAAAGGCCAAUCAAACCGGGAGAUAGCUGGUUCUCCCCGAAAGCUAUUUAGGUAGCGCCUCGUGAAUUCAUCUCCGGGGGUAGAGCACUGUUUCGGCUAGGGGGCCAUCCCGGCUUACCAACCCGAUGCAAACUGCGAAUACCGGAGAAUGUUAUCACGGGAGACACACGGCGGGUGCUAACGUCCGUCGUGAAGAGGGAAACAACCCAGACCGCCAGCUAAGGUCCCAAAGUCAUGGUUAAGUGGGAAACGAUGUGGGAAGGCCCAGACAGCCAGGAUGUUGGCUUAGAAGCAGCCAUCAUUUAAAGAAAGCGUAAUAGCUCACUGGUCGAGUCGGCCUGCGCGGAAGAUGUAACGGGGCUAAACCAUGCACCGAAGCUGCGGCAGCGACACUGUGUGUUGUUGGGUAGGGGAGCGUUCUGUAAGCCUGCGAAGGUGGCCUGUGAGGGUUGCUGGAGGUAUCAGAAGUGCGAAUGCUGACAUAAGUAACGAUAAAGCGGGUGAAAAGCCCGCUCGCCGGAAGACCAAGGGUUCCUGUCCAACGUUAAUCGGGGCAGGGUGAGUCGACCCCUAAGGCGAGGCCGAAAGGCGUAGUCGAUGGGAAACGGGUUAAUAUUCCCGUACUUGGUGUUACUGCGAAGGGGGGACGGAGAAGGCUAUGUUGGCCGGGCGACGGUUGUCCCGGUUUAAGCGUGUAGGUGUGUGUUCCAGGUAAAUCCGGUUCACUUUAACACUGAGGCGUGACGACGAGGCACUACGGUGCUGAAGCAACAAAUGCCCUGCUUCCAGGAAAAGCCUCUAAGCAUCAGGUAACAUCAAAUCGUACCCCAAACCGACACAGGUGGUCAGGUAGAGAAUACCAAGGCGCUUGAGAGAACUCGGGUGAAGGAACUAGGCAAAAUGGUGCCGUAACUUCGGGAGAAGGCACGCUGACACGUAGGUGAAGUGAUUUACUCAUGGAGCUGAAGUCAGUCGAAGAUACCAGCUGGCUGCAACUGUUUAUUAAAAACACAGCACUGUGCAAACACGAAAGUGGACGUAUACGGUGUGACGCCUGCCCGGUGCCGGAAGGUUAAUUGAUGGGGUCAGCGCAAGCGAAGCUCCUGAUCGAAGCCCCGGUAAACGGCGGCCGUAACUAUAACGGUCCUAAGGUAGCGAAAUUCCUUGUCGGGUAAGUUCCGACCUGCACGAAUGGCGUAAUGAUGGCCAGGCUGUCUCCACCCGAGACUCAGUGAAAUUGAACUCGCUGUGAAGAUGCAGUGUACCCGCGGCAAGACGGAAAGACCCCGUGAACCUUUACUAUAGCUUGACACUGAACAUUGAGCCUUGAUGUGUAGGAUAGGUGGGAGGCUUUGAAGUGUGGACGCCAGUCUGCAUGGAGCCGACCUUGAAAUACCACCCUUUAAUGUUUGAUGUUCUAACGUGGACCCGUUACCCGGGUUGCGGACAGUGUCUGGUGGGUAGUUUGACUGGGGCGGUCUCCUCCUAAAGAGUAACGGAGGAGCACGAAGGUUGGCUAAUCCUGGUCGGACAUCAGGAGGUUAGUGCAAUGGCAUAAGCCAGCUUGACUGCGAGCGUGACGGCGCGAGCAGGUGCGAAAGCAGGUCAUAGUGAUCCGGUGGUUCUGAAUGGAAGGGCCAUCGCUCAACGGAUAAAAGGUACUCCGGGGAUAACAGGCUGAUACCGCCCAAGAGUUCAUAUCGACGGCGGUGUUUGGCACCUCGAUGUCGGCUCAUCACAUCCUGGGGCUGAAGUAGGUCCCAAGGGUAUGGCUGUUCGCCAUUUAAAGUGGUACGCGAGCUGGGUUUAGAACGUCGUGAGACAGUUCGGUCCCUAUCUGCCGUGGGCGCUGGAGAACUGAGGGGGGCUGCUCCUAGUACGAGAGGACCGGAGUGGACGCAUCACUGGUGUUCGGGUUGUCAUGCCAAUGGCACUGCCCGGUAGCUAAAUGCGGAAGAGAUAAGUGCUGAAAGCAUCUAAGCACGAAACUUGCCCCGAG
rnacentral:rRNA from 3 species